GGGGAUGUAGCUCAGGCGGGAGAGCACCUGCUUUGCAAGCAGAUGGCCAUCGGUUCGAUCCCGAUCAUCUCCACCA
rnacentral:tRNA from 1 species